rnacentral:rRNA from 1 species
CCUACGGGAGGCAGCAGUGGGGAAUAUUGCACAAUGGGGGAAACCCUGAUGCAGCGACGCCGCGUGAGUGAAGAAGUACUUCGUUAUGUAAAGCUCUAUCAGCAGGGAAGAAAAUGACGGUACCUGAGUAAGAAGUCCCGGCCAACUACGUGCCAGCAGCCGCGGUAACACGGAGGGGGCAAGCGUUAUCCGGAUUUACUGGGUGUAAAGGGAGCGUAGACGGUAGUGCAAGUCUGGAGUGAAAGGCGGGGGCUCAACCCCCGGACUGCUUUUGACACUGUACGGCUAGAGUGCAGGAGAGGUAAGUGGAAGUCCUGGUGUAGCGGUGAAAUGCGUAGAUAUUAGGAGGAACACCAGUGGCGAAGGCAGCUUACUGGACUGUAACUGACGUUGAGGCUCGAAAGCGUGGGGAGCAAACAGGAUUAGAUACCCGAGUAGUC